CUAAAGCAAUACAAUCUAAGUUCUUAAAAUUAAGUGUUACAACCACCUAUAUGUGAAAACUGUGUACGAGAGAACAAAUUUGGCCAAUUAUUGAUGAGAGUUAGUGGAACCUGUUAGUCUAAAUAAUAAAACGUUUUGUCUUCAACAACUGCUCAAGGUAGGAUCAGGACAUACAAUUUCCUUAUGACAUUAAAGACUAAAUUUAAAUAAAUUUGGCCACUUAAGAGCUUGAAAUUAGUAAUUGCCAUAACCUGUAUGUGAAAAUUGUUCCAAGUGUCAAACACUAAAUAUAAAUUGUUAAAAUGUGUCCCCUUUGUUCAAUAGAAGGUUCCAUUUUGUCAAGAAAAAUACAUAAAUUAUAAGUUCUUGUUUGUUAUGCUUAAAAGGUGCUAAGUAGGAGCCAAUUAUUGGGUAGACUCAAAAUUUGUUUCUUUUGAACCAAAGAAGCACUUAUAUAAGAACCCCAAACAUGUAGUAGAACAGAACAUAGAUACAAAACAGAAUUUCAAACAUGGAGUACUAUUGACUGAACUUAUUGUAACCCAAUAAGAUGAAGGCAAACUUAUUGAAGCAGAUCUAGAAAGAAAGACAGCAGCAGCUAAUUCUCCAAUUGUGCGUCAAAUUAUCCCCAUAAACAAGUUUUCAGGAUUUCUUGAAGGAAAAGCAGAUCUAGAAAGAGAAUUUUCAGAUGUAGAAACAAACAAAAAAAGUAAAGAAAAUGAACGCUCUUGGAACCACGAAGGCAAAAAGGAAGGAAAGGUUACAAAGGUGAAAGAGGUAGUAAAUAUUUGCAAAUGUUCAACAUCCUAGAAAAAAUAAAAUAUAUUCUAAUGACACGUAAAUAUUGCUUCAAUUAGCUCAGUGAAGCUAGACAUUUCCUAAAAAAUGAAAACAAAAAAAGAUAAAUGUUCAAACAAAAUGCAUAAUCAGUAAGGAAUCAAUAUCUGUUUUUAUUGUCAAAUAGAUGUGCUUCUACCAUAGGGUCCCAACUGAGGCUUGAGGCAGUGCACAAAAGCAGAGACAACAAAUAAGCCUCCAAAUGACAAUAUGAACAACCUCAAAGGAAACACCUCGAGGAGCACAUCAAUAUCUGAUUUGGAUAAGUUACAUCAUCCCAGAUCAAGCAAGCAAGCAAAUGAAGGAGAAAAAUAGUUAGAGCUCUAGGCAAUCAU
rnacentral:lncRNA from 1 species